CUCAUCGCCUCCGAGAACUUCACCUCCUUCGCCGUCAUCGAGGCCCUCGGCAGCGCUCUCACGAACAAAUACUCCGAGGGCAUGCCGGGCAACCGCUACUACGGCGGCAAUGAAUACAUCGACCAGAUCGAAAACCUCUGCCGCUCACGCGCCCUCCAAGCCUUCCACCUCGACGCCCAAUCCUGGGGCGUCAACGUCCAGCCCUACUCCGGCUCCCCGGCCAACUUCGCCGCCUACACCGCCGUCCUCAACCCCCACGACCGCAUCAUGGGGCUAGAUCUCCCCUCCGGCGGCCACCUCACCCACGGCUACUACACCUCCGGCGGAAAGAAGAUCUCCGCCACCUCCAUUUACUUCGAGAGUCUCCCUUACAAGGUAAACUCCACCACCGGCUACAUCGACUACGACCGCUUGGAAGAAAAAGCCCUAGACUUCAGGCCAAAACUCAUAAUCUGCGGUGGCAGCGCGUACCCUCGCGAUUGGGA
rnacentral:lncRNA from 1 species